CACUAAAAAGUGGAAAUAGUGCCACCGCAAAUUUCAUUCUACAAUAAAUAUUAGGUAAUGAAAUACGUACCAAAGGAGUAUAAAAGAAAAAGGGAAAAUGGUUUCAAUUUAAUUGGACCCGAAGGACCAAGAAAGUCAAGGUCGAAUUAAUUGCUCUCUCCAACCUGUUACAGAAAAUCAGUUAGAAUUCCUGGCGCCGGACAUAACGAAUACUGAGGUAUAUGUGAUUCCUGGCAAGAAAUGAGGUAAUUUUCACGAAAAACGUGUGACCACCAAAGUGGCUAUGGAAGGGUAAGGUCUGUGAAAGAAAGAGAUAAAUACAUCAUCGUUCAGAGAUGAGUUGGGAGAUUGCUCACGGGCAGGGUCGCGC